RUGGGUUUGUAGCUCAGUUGGUAAAACCUCAGCCUUCCAAGCUGAUGUUGUCGGUUCGAUUCCGAUCACCCGCUCCA
rnacentral:tRNA from 1 species